UGUGUACCUCCGAGAGAGAGGAGUCACUUUCAUCAGACCUAUAGUGAAAGAGUUAGAAUUAUGAGAGAAAGAAUACAGAUGUCAACAGGCCUUCUUACCUUCCUUCUGAUCCUGGGCUGUUUAAAGGAGCAUCCUCAUCAGUACUAUCCUCUACAUUUUCUACAAAAAAAUGUUUAAAAUAACCAGUCUGGCCAGAGCCCAGAGGAUCUCACUCAGAUGGUCACCAACUCAGGCCCUCUUCAGGACCAAGUUUGGUCUGAAGCAUUAUGGUUACCUGGGCAGCAGGACACACAAACAACUCACUGUUGUACUCUCAACUCUGAGAACACAACUCUAGCCCAAGCCCCUGAGACCGCCGUCCUUAGAAAGGCCUGCUUGGAAAACUGGACUUUGGCUGACAUCUAAAAACAGCUCUCAGAGCGUUCCCAGUCAACUGUUAGCCAAUAAAAGUGGCU
rnacentral:lncRNA from 1 species